CAAUAGCGUAUAUUAAAGUUGUUGCAGUUAAAAAGCUCGUAGUUGGAUUUCUGGUGGGAGCGAUCGGUCUGGCGCUUAGCGCGAGUACUUGCAUCGUCUCCGGCCAUCCUUGGGGAGAGUCUGUCUGGCAUUAAGUUGUCGGGCAGAGGAUCCUCAUCGUUUACUGUGAAAAAAUUAGAGUGUUCAAAGCAAGCUUAUGCCGUUGAAUAUAUUAGCAUGGAAUAAUAAGAUAGGACUUUGGUACUAUUUUGUUGGUUUGCGCACCAAAGUAAUGAUUAAUAGGGACAGUUGGGGGUAUUCGUAUUCCGUUGUCAGAGGUGAAAUUCUUGGAUUUACGGAAGACGAACUACUGCGAAAGCAUUUACCAAGGAUGUUUUCAUUAA
rnacentral:rRNA from 1 species